UACAGAGGGUGCGAGCGUUGUCCGGAAUCACUGGGCGUAAAGGGCGCGUAGGCGGCCUGGUAAGUAGGGGGUGAAAUCCUGCGGCUCAACCGCAGGGCUGCCUUCUAAACUGUCAGGCUGGAGCACGGUAGAGGUAGAUGGAAUUCCCGGUGUAGCGGUGGAAUGCGUAGAGAUCGGGAAGAACACCAGUGGCGAAGGCGGUCUGCUGGGCCGUUGCUGACGCUGAGGCGCGACAGCGUGGGGAGCAAACAGG
rnacentral:rRNA from 1 species